UACAGAGGAGCCAAGCGUUGUCCGGAUUGACUGGGCGUAAAGCGCACGCAGGCGGAUGCGCGCGUGGGGUGUGAAAUCUGGCCGCUUAACGGCCAGGCGCCAUCCCAUACGGCGCGUCUGGAGCCUUGCAGAGGUCGGUGGAAUUGCCGGUGUAGUGGUGAAAUGCGUAGAGAUCGGGAGGAACACCUGUGGCGAAGGCGGCCACCUGGGCCGACCCUGACGCUGAGGCGCGAAGGCGUGGGGAGCGAACGGG
rnacentral:rRNA from 1 species